UUCCUCUUUCUUUGGGUUUUUGCACCAGGUUGUUUGAUCCUCAGGUGAUGAAAGAUCCUGGCUGAAGUAGCAAAGUAGGGCUCCAUGAAUGCUGCUGAACAUAGAAGAAGGGUGGAGAAAGACUGGUGGAGGGAGAUGGAAAUGCAGGUGUUGACAGGUUGUGUAGGUGUUGACAUUUUGUGUAGGUGUUGACAGGUUGUGUAGUUGUUGUUGACAGGUUGUGUAGUUGACAGGUUUUGUAGGAGUUGUUGACAGGUUAUGUAGUUGUAGUUGUUAACAGGUUGUGUAGGUGUUGGCAGGUUGUGUAGGUGUUGGCAGGUUGUGUAGGUGUGGGCAGGUUGUGUAGGUGUGGGCAGGUUGUGUAGUUGUUAACAGGUUGUGUAGUUGUUAACAGGUUGUGUAGGUGUUGGCAGGUUGUGUAGGUGUGGGCAGGUUGUGUAGGUGUUGGCAGGUUGUGUUGGUGUUGACAGGUUGUGUAGUUGUAGUUGUUAACAGGUUGUGAAGGUGUUGGCAGGUUGUGUAGGUGUUGGCAGGUUGCGUAGGUGCUGACCAGGUUGUGUAGGUGUUGACAGGUUGUGUAGUUGUAGUUGUUAACAGGUUGUGUAGGUGUUGACCAGGUUGUGUAGGUGUUGACAUGCUGUGUAGUUGUAGUUGUUAACAGGUUGCGUAGGUGCUGACUAGGUUGUGUAGGUGUUGACAGGUUGUGUAGUUGUAGUUGUUAACAGGUUGUGUAGGUGCUGACCAGGUUGUGUAGGUGUUGACAGGUUGUGUAGUUGUAGUUGUUAACCGGCUGUGUAGGUGUUGACAGGUUGCGUAGGUGUUGACCAGGUUGCGUAGGUGUUGACCAGGUUGCGUAGGUGUUGACCAGGUUGUGUAGGUGUUGACAUGCUGUGUAGGUGUUGUUGACAGGUUGUGUAGGAGUUGUUGACAGGUUGUGUAGGUGUUGACAGGUUGUGUAGGAGUUGUUGACAGGUUGUGUAGGAGUUGUUGACAGGUUGUGUAGGUGUUGACAGGUUGUGUAGGUGUUGACAUUUUGUGUAGGUGUUGACAGGUUGUGUAGUUGUUGUUGACAGGUUGUGUAGUUGACAGGUUUUGUAGGAGUUGUUGACAGGUUAUGUAGUUGUAGUUGUUAACAGGUUGUGUAGGUGUUGGCAGGUUGUGUAGGUGUUGGCAGGUUGUGUAGGUGUUGGCAGGUUGUGUAGGUGUGGGCAGGUUGUGUAGGUGUUGGCAGGUUGUGUUGGUGUUGACAGGUUGUGUAGUUGUAGUUGUUAACAGGUUGUGUAGGUGUUGACCAGGUUGUGUAGGUGUUGACAUGCUGUGUAGUUGUAGUUGUUAACAGGUUGCGUAGGUGCUGACUAGGUUGUGUAGGUGUUGACAGGUUGUGUAGUUGUAGUUGUUAACAGGUUGUGUAGGUGUUGACCAGGUUGUGUAGGUGUUGACAUGCUGUGUAGUUGUAGUUGUUAACAGGUUGCGUAGGUGCUGACUAGGUUGUGUAGGUGUUGACAGGUUGUGUAGUUGUAGUUGUUAACAGGUUGUGUAGGUGCUGACCAGGUUGUGUAGGUGUUGACAGGUUGUGUAGUUGUAGUUGUUAACAGGUUGUGUAGGUGUUGACCAGGUUGUGUAGGUGUUGACAUGCUGUGUAGUUGUAGUUGUUAACAGGUUGCGUAGGUGCUGACUAGGUUGUGUAGGUGUUGACAGGUUGUGUAGUUGUAGUUGUUAACAGGUUGUGUAGGUGCUGACCAGGUUGUGUAGGUGUUGACAGGUUGUGUAGUUGUAGUUGUUAACAGGUUGUGUAGGUGCUGACUAGGUUGUGUAGGUGUUGACAGGUUGUGUAGUUGUAGUUGUUAACAGGUUGUGUAGGUGCUGACCAGGUUGUGUAGGUGUUGACAGGUUGUGUAGUUGUAGUUGUUAACCGGCUGUGUAGGUGUUGACAGGUUGCGUAGGUGUUGACCAGGUUGCGUAGGUGUUGACCAGGUUGUGUAGGUGUUGACCAGGUUGUGUAGGUGUUGACAUGCUGUGUAGGAGUUGUUGACAGGUUGUGUAGGAGUUGUUGACAGGUUGUGUAGGUGUUGACAGGUUGUGUAGGAGUUGUUGACAGGUUGUGUAGGAGUUGUUGACAGGUUGUGUAGGAGUUGUUGACAGGUUGUGUAGGAGUUGUUGACAGGUUGUGUAGGAGUUGUUGACAGGUUGUGUAGGAGUUGUUGACAGGCUGUGUAGGAGUUGACCAGGUUGCGUAGGUGUUGACCAGGUUGUGUAGGUGUUGACAUGCUGUGUAGGAGUUGUUAACAGGUUGUGUAGGAGUUGUUGACAGGUUGUGUAGGUGUUGACAUGCUGUGUAGGAGUUGUUAACAGGUUGUGUAGGAGUUGUUGACAGGUUGUGUUGACAGGUUGUGUUGACAGGUUGUGUAGGUGUUGGCAGGUUGUGUAGUUGUUGGCAGGUUGUGUAGUUGUUGAGAGGUUGUGUUGGUGUUGACAGGUUGUGUUGGUGUUGACAGGUUGUGUUGACAGGUUGUGUAGGUGUUGGCAGGUUGUGUAGGUGUUGGCAGGUUGUGUAGUUGUUGAGAGGUUGUGUAGUUGUUGACAGGUUGUGUAGUUGUUGACAGGUUGUGUCGUUGCUGACAGGUUGUGUUAAUGUUGACAGGUUGUGUUGAUGCUGGGAGGUUGUGUAAGUGUUGACAGGCUGUGUAGUUUUUGACCAGGUUGUGUUGAUCCUUACAGGUUGUGUUGAUGCUGACAGGUUGUGUAGAUGUUGACAGGCUGUGUAGUUGUUGACCAGGUUUUGUAGGUGUUGACCAGGUUGUGUAGUUGUUUUGUUUCUGCAUUCUUCAGGGGUUUAUGCAGUGUGUUGGCGGAUUAGCCACUUACUCAGUUAAAGGAGCAGUCCGUUCAUUCUGCUGAUGUGACGAUGUCACAGCUAUGAUGAUGUCACUGUGUCUCUGUCACAGCAGAUUGAAAUCAGAGGUCUCCCAACUGUGACCUCACUUCCUGUUGGACAUCACAGCUUCCUCAGUGGUUUGUACAGAGCCGAGGACGCCAUCCAAUCAGUACUCACCCAGCUGUCACAUGAUGUAGACACGUCCCAAUGAUAAUGUGAAGAAACACUUGAUGGGGGGGGGGGGGGGUCUGAUCUGUAGUCUGAUAGGUCCACUAACGUCCAAUCACGUGGCGAUUCAGACCUGAUAAAGAAUCAAUUCAAGAAUCAUUCUGUUAGCUUCAAGUCAUUCUGUUAGCCGCAGGUCAUUCUGUUAGCCGCAGGUCGUUCUGUUAGCUUCAGAUCAUUGUGUUCACUGCAGGUCGUUGUGUUCACUGCAGGUCGUUGUGUUCACUGCAGGUCGUUGUGUUAGCCACAGGUCGUUCUGUUAUUCAAGUCAUUCUGUUAGCCGCUGGUCGUUCUGUUAGCUUCAGAUCGUUGUGUUCACUGCAGGUCGUUGUGUUCACUGCAGGUCGUUGUGUUCACUGCAGGUCGUUGUGUUAGCCACAGGUCGUUCUGUUAGCUUCAAGUCAUUCUGUUAGCCGCUGGUCGUUCUGUUAGCCGCUGGUCGUUCUGUUAGCUUCAGGUCGUUCUGCUAGCUUCAGGUCGUUCUGCUAGCUUCAGGUCGUUCUCUUAGCUUCAGGUCGUUCUCUUAGCUUCAGGUCGUUCUUUUAGCUUCAGGUCGUUCUUUUCGCUUCAGGUCGUUCUGUUAGCCGCAGGUUGUUCUUUUAGCUUCAGGUUGUUCUGUUGUCUUCAGGUCUUUCUGUUAGCCGCUGGUCGUUCUGUUAGCUGCACGUCGUUUUUUAGCCGCUGGUCGUUUUGUUAGCUUCAGGUCGUUCUGUUAACUGUAGGUCGUUCUGUUAGCCGCUGGUCGUUCUGUUAGCCGCUGGUUGUUUUUUAGCUUCAGGUCGUUCAGUUAGCUUCAGAUCGUUGUGUUCAUUGCAGGUCGUUGUGUUCACUGCAGGUCGUUCUGUUAGCCGCAGAUCGUUCUGUUAGCCGCAGGUCGUUCUGUUAGCCGCAGGUCGUUCUGUUAGCCGCAGGUCGUUCUGUUAGCCGCUGGUCGUUCUGUUAGCCGCAGGUCGUUCUGUUAGCCGCAGGUCGUUCUCUUAGCUUCAGGUCGUUCUGUUAGCUGCAGGUCAUUGACCUGAUGGAGAACCGUUCCUCAUGCAUCAGGGUCCAUCUCAUAGCACUAACCCCUGUUUAGUGGAACCAGAAACCUCUGGUCCUCCUCACUAACUCUGGUCUUUUCUUCUGCCCUUCUUCGGUGG